AUAUAUAUAUAUGUAUAAUGUGCAAUGCGUAUGCAGAAUAAUACGAGCAGUUACAGACGAGACUCUUGAGUCUUAAGAGAUCCCAAGGCGGAUAUGGAGUCAUCGCACCCGGGUCCGUUUCACGUUAGCUUCCGGUAGCCGUUUUACUGACGUCAAUUAUACAGUUGGUCAAAUUUUAUAUUUUAAUUUUCAAAAACGUUUGCAAAAAAAAUUGCGAGAAAAAAAAAAAUAAAAGAUAUGGAAUAAUUAUCGAACGAAAUUUGGCAGACGUUUAAUAACGGUAGCGAGUAAAAAUUAUUUAAGAAAUAAAAAAACCGGAAUAUUGCAAGUGCUGAUCACUGGUACCGUUGUAAAUACCAGCCGGUAUAUUUAUGUACGUCUGUCAAGAUAACGAGGUUCCCGGGGGCUUCUUCUCACCAGCAGCAGCCAGUAUACGAAGAAAUUCAAGAGAAUUACGUGGAUGGCUUGAAUGAGUCGUAAGAUAUGUUCUAGAGCAUCGAAAUCACAAGAGAGUUGUUACAGGCGACAGACGAAGAAUUUAUUAAAGAGGACAUUAACCGGAUAACAAAUUGAUCGAUCGACCCGUACUAACGUCUAAUGAAGUUAAAGUGCAUCAUGAGGGAUUACGUGAAACCCGAUGCAAGCGGCGAAAUUCUAUACUACAACAAAGACCUUCAAGUGGCGACAGCUGUGAUGAAUCUUGUAAGCUAGUACUCGAAGCAUCUCGACUGUUCAAUGAUACUACAGGAAGCGAUGCAACCAUCAUAAAUGUACACAGAAAUCUGCAUUAUCUACACUACGAAGACGAUACUUUCUUUACAAAUUACUUUUUUCAAAAAAUAGUACAAUAAUUAUUACGAUUAAUUUAAAUGAUUACUAGGUAUAUGAAGCAAGACAGAUAAUUAAAUAUUUGAAGAGGCUUUUUAUAAUUUUAAAAUGUUCUAGCAAACUUACCUUGCGUCGCCAUUUCUGGGGCGCGCAAAAAAAAAGAUAUUGCUGAAUUAGAAAACUAGUGCG